rnacentral:rRNA from 1 species
AAAUAGAACUUUGCAGAGAGAGUUAACAGGGCGUGAACCGUUGAUUGGCAAACGAAUCGGAGCCACGAAGUCGUUUCGUUGUUUAGCCUGGAUCAGGUUCAGCCGGGGUCGAGAGGCCCCGGUGUAGUCCUGGGUCUGGCCAAACCUUGUAAGCGUACACUGCAACCAGUUAGACGAUCAGCCGUGGGCAUAGCGCUCGUGUUCCGUGCAGCAAUGUAUGGGCGCUUGUGCGAAGCAGUUGUUCGUGGGCGUUAGUAGUAGUGCGGUUGCGCUUCGGCGUUUCUCGUGUUGCUGGGCGCCCAUGAGUGAGCUACGGCUGAAUACUGACUGGCGAAAUGAAAACCGCGCCUUGUGCGCGUCAGAGACAACGCGUCCGUCGGAUGCGGGCCUACAUGGUCGACUGUUAGGUCUAAGCUUGGCGUUUUUGAAUUCAGACUUGCUCGCUACCAGUGGGGCAACCCCUGGUGCUUGUACAGCUUCUGUCUAAUCGGGCGUCGACUUGGCUUGGCAUCGUUUGGCCGUGCGUCGAUCGGGUCCGCAUGCGAGCGGGUCCGCAAUGUGAAUUGGCAGUGAGUAGGUCGGCUUUCCGAACGACCCGUCUUGAAACACGGACCAAGGAGUCUAAUUAGGCAUCGAGUCGAUCGGUCUUGAUAGGCCAGACUGGUACCCCUCGGGGCGCCGACUGAAGGCGUAGAGAAAUCAAAUCGUGUGAUCGCGGGGGCAACAACAGCCGCUGCGCGCAACAUGUGCCUGUUCGUAUAGCAAUGCAGCAAUGCUUGCUGGGCGGAGCAGAGAGAUGCCUGAUUGGGACCCGAAAGAUGGUGAACUAUGCUUGGGCAAAUUGAAGCCAGAGGAAACUCUGGUGGAGGAUUGUAGCGAUUCUGACGUGCAAAUCGAUCGUCAGACCUGAGUAUAGGGGCGAAAGACUAAUCGAACCAUC